rnacentral:tRNA from 1 species
GCUAUUUUGGCAGAUUAGUGCAAUAAACUUAGAAUUUAUUUAUGUAGAUUUUUCUACAUGUAGCA